UCUAGAAACCAGUAGAAGCAAGAAAGAAGAGUACUGGUUUCCAUCAAAAAUAUUGUCUUCAAAAGAUGCUCCAAACAACUUCUCCACAUAGUUCUCCCAUGCUUGUUUUUACCGACUGAAAACUCUUAUGGACCUGCUCUGAGAAUAGAUGAAGUUUUUAAUCAACAAAGUUAUUAUAAAUAAAGCACUGAUGGAGGAAGCACAGAGACACCUAAGGAAAAGCUUACAGGAAGGACCAGAAGGACCCAAGCCUCCUGACAAU